rnacentral:rRNA from 1 species
CCUACGGGUGGCAGCAGUGAGGAAUAUUGGUCAAUGGACGAGAGUCUGAACCAGCCAAGUAGCGUGAAGGAUGACUGCCCUAUGGGUUGUAAACUUCUUUUAUAUGGGAAUAAAAUGUUCCACGUGUGGGAUUUUGUAUGUACCAUAUGAAUAAGGAUCGGCUAACUCCGUGCCAGCAGCCGCGGUAAUACGGAGGAUCCGAGCGUUAUCCGGAUUUAUUGGGUUUAAAGGGAGCGUAGGUGGAUUGUUAAGUCAGUUGGGAAAGUUUGCGGCUCAACCGUAAAAUUGCAGUUGAAACUGGCAGUCUUGAGUACAGUAGAGGUGGGCGGAAUUCGUGGUGUAGCGGUGAAAUGCUUAGAUAUCACGAAGAACUCCGAUUGCGAAGGCAGCUCACUGGACUGCAACUGACACUGAGGCUCGAAAGUGUGGGUAUCAAACAGGAUUAGAUACCCUGGUGUC